GGCGUAAAGCGCGGGUAGGCGGGGCGGCGUGUCGGAUGUGAAAGCCCUCAGGUCAACCGAGGAAUUGCAUCCGAAACUGUCGUUCUUGACUACGGGAGAGGGAACCGGAAUUUCCAGGCUAAGGCGUAAUUCGUAGAUAUUGGAAGGUACACCGGUGGCGAAGCAGGCUUCCUGGACCGAUACUGACGCUGAGACGCGAAAGCGUGGGUAGCAAACAGGAUUAGAUACCCUGGUAGUCCACGCAGUAAACGAUGAGCACUAGGUGUUACGGGUAUCGACCCCUGCAGUGCCGAAGCCAACGCAUUAAGUGCUCCGCCUGGGGACUUCGGUCGCAAGACUAAAACUCAAAGGAAUUGACGAGGGCCCGCACAAGCGCUGGAGCAUGUGGUUCAAUUCGACGCAACGCGCAGAACCUUACCCGGGCCUGACAUCCUGGGAAUCCCCGAGGAAACCGGGGAGUGCCUGCUUUGCAGGAGCUCAGUGACAGGUGCUGCAUGACUGUCGUCAGCUCGUUGUCGUGAGAUGUUGGGUUAAGUCCCGCAACGAGCGCAACCCUCGUCCUUAGUGGCCAGCAUUCAGUUGGG
rnacentral:rRNA from 1 species